rnacentral:rRNA from 1 species
AGUGAACGCUGGCGGUAGGCCUAACACAUGCAAGUCGAACGGCAGCACAGUAAGAGCUUGCUCUUACGGGUGGCGAGUGGCGGACGGGUGAGGAAUACAUCGGAAUCUACUUUUUCGUGGGGGAUAACGUAGGGAAACUUACGCUAAUACCGCAUACGACCUACGGGUGAAAGCAGGGGAUCUUCGGACCUUGCGCGAUUGAAUGAGCCGAUGUCGGAUUAGCUAGUUGGCGGGGUAAAGGCCCACCAAGGCGACGAUCCGUAGCUGGUCUGAGAGGAUGAUCAGCCACACUGGAACUGAGACACGGUCCAUACUCCUACGGGAGGCAGCAGUGGGGAAUAUUGGACAAUGGGCGCAAGCCUGAUCCAGCCAUACCGCGUGGGUGAAGAAGGCCUUCGGGUUGUAAAGCCCUUUUGUUGGGAAAGAACAGCAGCAGGUUAAUACCCCGCUGUUCUGACGGUACCCAAAGAAUAAGCACCGGCUAACUUCGUG